rnacentral:sRNA from 1 species
GGCUAGAUCGGGAAACUCAUCAAAUUUUUAUGAAUAACCGAGACAGCUUCUUCUUCCGAUGGCGUGCCGCCCCCUUUUGGGUACACUACGUUAGCGGAUUACAAAGGAAGUAGGGCCCUCAAAUCUUGUAUUUACUCGGAGAUUUCAUCACAUCACCAGUGCGGCUUUA